rfam:Aerococcus christensenii strain CCTG28831, complete genome.
AAAUCCUUUAAAACUGUCCCGUGAGGCAGGCAAGGAGUCACGUGAAUAAUAGCUGGUGGUCUGUUUUUAGACUAUCCGAUUGAUUAUGUCCUAAAGUCUCCUUGUGUAGGAGAUUUUUUUUGU